ACUUCUUACCUGAUGAAAAUGAUGUAAUUUAGUGACUAGCAGCACCACAGCAGAGACAAACACACUAUUUGUCAGAGUUGUGAGAGGAAGGAGGGAGGGAUUAAGUGAGGAGCAAAACUGUGACGCAAGUACAGAAAAGACAAACUUUCACAGUGGUGUUUCAUACAAAAACCAGGCAGAUUCUCUUUAUCUUUAAGAUGUUGUCAGUGAACUUCAGUCUGUUUGUGACUUUGUUUCUGCUCACAAUAAGAGGUGUCAGCUGUGAAGAACUCACUCCAGAUAACGAUGAAGAGUUCAGUUUAGAAGGCAGCACUGUUACUCUGUCCUACAAAUACUCCAAACAAGCAACUGGUAAUGAUGAUUUCUUCUGGUAUCGACAAUAUCCAGGAAAACCACCAGAGUUCCUCCUGUACAUCUCAGGGCUCAACUUUACAAGACCAGCAGAGUCUCUGAAAUCAGACACAAAGUUCUCUACUCAACUGUCUGGAGAAAAACAUCUGGAUCUGCAGAUCUCCUCUGCUGCAGUGACUGACUCUGCUGUGUACUACUGUGCUGUGAAGCCCACAGUGACAGGAAACACCAAGACUCUGUACAAAAACCUUUGGAGCAAAGACAACAGAAUACUCCACAACGUCCACUAGAGGGAGUCACACAGUUAACCUUCAGUGAUAUAUUAACCAUA